GCUGGUGUAUUUGGCCGAGAAUCCCAGGGCUUUCAAGGGCAUUUUCAAGAGUCAACUCCCUGUGAUUUGGAAAUCUAACAAGAAGGCGUGGGUUACCUUAAUGGUCUUCGAAGAUUGGUUCAAUGACCAUUUCGUGCCAGCAGUUGAGCGGUAUUUGACUUCGAAGGGUCUGCCUUUUAAGGCCCUCUUAGUCCUGGACAAUGCCCCUGGUCACCCUUCAAAUUUGAGCGACAUGCAUCCUAAUGUGAAGGUGGUGUACCUCCCACCCAAUACCACAUCGCUGAUACAGCCAAUGGACCAGGGAGUAAUAGCUAAUUUCAAGGCUUACUACCUUAGAAGGACCAUACGUUUUGCUUUGAGGGCCAUAGAAGCUAACAAGGAGUUGACACUGAAGCAAUUCUGGAAGGGCUACAACAUUGCAGAUGCAGUGAAGAACAUUUGCAAGUGCUUGGGACGAGGUGAAGACGACCACUUUAAAUGGGGCCUGGAGGAAACUGUGUCCACAGUUUGUGCACAGUUUUGAAGGCUUUUGACCAGGCAGAAGACGUCGAGACUGUGACGAGGAAGAUCGUAGGGCUAAGCAAGAGGCUGAAACUAGAUCUUGAACCUGAUGAUGUAACAGAGCUGCUGGCUUCCCAUGGAGAGGAAUUGUCUGCAGAGGACUUACUAGAACUUGAACAACAAAUGAUUGAGGAAGAGGAGGCGGCACCAGAGCCAAAACCCAGGUCAUUAACUGUGAAAGGCUUGUCAGAGGGUUUUACUCAUCUGGAGAGAGCCUUGGCUUCUUUUGAGGCAGAAGACCCUAACGUUUCUAGGUUUGACAAAAUCAGAGAGGAAUCAUGGAUUUGGUGACUUUCUACAAGGAGACCCUGAAGGAGAAGCAGACGAAGAGAAGUGUGCAGUCCAGGCUUGACACUUUCUUUCACAAGUCUCCAGUACCACCACCUCCCACUCCUAGUCCUGGUAAGGAAUUCUGAACUGUUUUACUAAAAUAUGUUAACAUAGUGUACAUAUUAAAAUGUGUUAAUUUUUUAAUGUAACAACUAAAUGUAAGAGUAAAUUGUAACUUCAUUAAUUUUCAUCAUUUGUAAUUUUAUUGCAGAAGUGGUGACAGUUCCAGAUCCCCCUGUACUACUGUGACAGUUCCAGAUCUCCCUGUACUACCUGUGACAGUUCCAGAUCUCCCUGUACUACCUGUGACAGUUCCAGAUCCCCCUGUACCUGGACCCUCUGUAUCAGCCCGCCCACCUGUACGUGUACAAUCAGACCCCUUUGAUAGUGACAGUGACCCAGAUGACCCUGAGCCUUUCCAUGGUUUUGAUGCCUCGCCCUAUACAUCAGAUGUAGAUGUUCCCUCAUCAGUUGAUACGAGUAUCACCUCUCCAGAGCCCAAAUCAGUUGAUACGAGUAGUAUCACCUCUCCCAUUCCUUCAGACUCCCAAGCACCUGCCCAUCCCACUCCAUAGCCCAGCCACCCACUCUCAUGUACCAUAUGGCCAUCCCAGUAAGCAAGCCAACCACUAGAAUUUGACUGGCAUGCACCUGUGACUUACAUAAACCAGACCUCUACAUAGCCUACAUGUCUUCAUUUUGCUGAAG